GGCGGGUAGCAUUGAUACGAGAAUCUGGUGUGGACUCAACGUACCUCCGGGGUUAUGCUCUUCCUCAAUAGUGUUAAUUAAACUCUUUUAAGUGUAUUUUAAUACAUCGGAAACAACCUCUCUACCUGCACAGGUAGAUAUAUGUAGGGUAAGACUGCAUACACACCACCCUCCCCAUAUCUCACUUGUGGGAUUAUACUGCGUAUGUUAUUGGACUAUUUGGCUUAUUUUCCACCAAAUAUUUAUCAUUCAAAUAAGAGUUUGUGC
rnacentral:misc_RNA from 1 species